CCAGUUGGCCGGGCGGCCGCUGGCAGCGGGGUAACCUGCUGCUGGAGGAAAGUCCGGGCUCCUUCGAAACACGGUGCCGGUUAACGGCCGGCGGGGGUGACCCCAGGGAAAGUGCCACAGAAAGCAAACCGCCCCGGCAUGCCGGGGUAAGGGUGAAAGGGUGCGGUAAGAGCGCACCGGGGGCCUGGCAACAGGAACCGCACGGCAAACCCCACCGGGAGCAAGACCAAAUAGGGAUGACGCGGGGCUUCGGCCCCAGCCUGUUUUGAGGCCAGAUCAUCCGGGUUGGUUGCACGAGGCGUCUGGCAACAGGCGCCCUAGAUGAAUGGCCGCCACGUCGCGGAAACGCGGCCCUACAGAACCCGGCUUAUAGGCCGACUGGCAUU
rnacentral:RNase_P_RNA from 2 species